UCAGUCGGUCGGGCAGCCGCGCUUGUCAUAUGCCGAAAGGCGGCAGGUGAGGAAAGUCCGGGCUCCAUGGAAAUACGGUGCCGGGUAACGCCCGGCGGGGGCGACCCCAGGGAUAGUGCCACAGAAAGUAGACCGCCCCGUCUUCCGUACCGCUUCAAGAAGCGGCAGGGAUGACGGGGUAAGGGUGAAAGGGUGGGGUAAGAGCCCACCGCGCCGGUGGCAACACAGGCGGCACGGUAAACCCCACUGGGAGCAAAACCGAAUAGGGACGGCGCAUCAGCCCGAAAGGGCUGAUAAUCAGUUUCCGGAUCAGCCGUCCGGGUGGGUUGCAAGAGGCGGGUGGCGACAUCCGUCCCAGAUGAAUGGCUGCCACGUUGGACGCAAGUCCGGCCAUACAGAACCCGGCUUACAGACCGACUGACAUU
rnacentral:RNase_P_RNA from 1 species